GAUGAACGCUGGCGGCGUGCCUAAUACAUGCAAGUCGAGCGAACAGACGAGGAGCUUGCUCCUCUGACGUUAGCGGCGGACGGGUGAGUAACACGUGGAUAACCUACCUAUAAGACUGGGAUAACUUCGGGAAACCGGAGCUAAUACCGGAUAAUAUAUUGAACCGCAUGGUUCAAUAGUGAAAGACGGUUUUGCUGUCACUUAUAGAUGGAUCCGCGCCGCAUUAGCUAGUUGGUAAGGUAACGGCUUACCAAGGCAACGAUGCGUAGCCGAUCUGAGAGGGUGAUCGGCCACACUGGAACUGAGACACGGUCCAGACUCCUACGGGAGGCAGCAGUAGGGAAUCUUGCGCAAUGGGCGAAAGCCUGACGGAGCAACGCCGCGUGAGUGAUGAAGGUCUUCGGAUCGUAAAACUCUGUUAUUAGGGAAGAACAAAUGUGUAUGUAACUAUGCACGUCUUGACGGUACCUAAUCAGAAAGCCACGGCUAACUACGUG
rnacentral:rRNA from 1 species